rnacentral:rRNA from 1 species
UGGGAAUAUUGGACAAUGGGCGAAAGCCUGAUCCAGCAAUGCCGCGUGAGUGAUGAAGGCCUUAGGGUUGUAAAGCUCUUUUACCCGGGAUGAUAAUGACAGUACCGGGAGAAUAAGCUCCGGCUAACUCCGUGCCAGCAGCCGCGGUAAUACGGAGGGAGCUAGCGUUGUUCGGAAUUACUGGGCGUAAAGCGCACGUAGGCGGCUUUGUAAGUUAGAGGUGAAAGCCUGGAGCUCAACUCCAGAAUCGCCUUUAAGACUGCAUCGCUCGAAUCCAGGAGAGGUGAGUGGAAUUCCGAGUGUAGAGGUGAAAUUCGUAGAUAUUCGGAAGAACACCAGUAGCGAAGGCGGCUCACUGGACUGGUAUUGACGCUGAGGUGCGAAAAGCGUGGGGAGCAAAACAGGAUUAGAUACCCUGGUAGUCCACGCCGUAAAACGAUGAUAACUAGCUGUCCGGGGGACUUGGUCCUUGGGUGGCGCAGCUAACGCAUUAAGUUAUCCGCCUGGGGAGUACGGCCGCAAGGUU